rnacentral:rRNA from 1 species
GUGGGGAAUCUUCCGCAAUGGACGAAAGUCUGACGGAGCAACGCCGCGUGAGUGAUGAAGGUUUUCGGACUGUAAAGCUCUGUUGUUUAGGACGAAAGUGCCUGUUGCAAAUAGUUACAGGUAUUGACGGUACUGAACGAGGAAGCCACGGCUAACUACGUGCCAGCAGCCGCGGUAAUACGUAGGUGGCAAGCGUUGUCCGGAAUUAUUGGGCGUAAAGAGCAUGUAGGCGGGAAUCUAAGUCUGUUGUGAAAAUGCGGGGCUCAACCCCGUAUUGCGAUGGAAACUGGGUUUCUUGAGUGCAGGAGAGGAAAGGGGAAUUCCCAGUGUAGCGGUGAAAUGCGUAGAUAUUGGGAGGAACACCAGUGGCGAAGGCGCCUUUCUGGACUGUGUCUGACGCUGAGAUGCGAAAGCCAGGGUAGCGAACGGGAUUAGAAACCCGGGUAGUCC